rnacentral:sRNA from 1 species
CUUGGUCAUUUAGAGGAAGUAAAAGUCGUAACAAGGUCUCCGUUGGUGAACCAGCGGAGGGAUCAUUACCGAGUUUACAACUCCCAAACCCCUGUGAACAUACCUUAAUGUUGCCUCGGCGGAUCAGCCCGCGCCCCGUAAAACGGGACGGCCCGCCAGAGGACCCAAACUCUAAUGUUUCUUAUUGUAACUUCUGAGUAAAACAAACAAAUAAAUCAAAACUUUCAACAACGGAUCUCUUGGUUCUGGCAUCGAUGAAGAACGCAGCAAAAUGCGGUAAGUAAUGUGAAUUGCAGAAUUCAGUGAAUCAUCGAAUCUUUGAACGCACAUUGCGCCCGCUGGUAUUCCGGCGGGCAUGCCUGUUCGAGCGUCAUUUCAACCCUCAAGCCCCCGGGUUUGGUGUUGGGGAUCGGCUCUGCCUUCUGGCGGUGCCGCCCCCGAAAUACAUUGGCGGUCUCGCUGCAGCCUCCAUUGCGUAGUAGCUAACACCUCGCAACUGGAACGCGGCGCGGCCAUGCCGUAAAACCCCAACUUCUGAAUGUUGACCUCGGAUCAGGUAGGAAUACCCGCUGAACUUAAGCAUAUCAAUAAGCGGAGGAAAAGAAACCAACAGGGAUUGCCCUAGUAACGGCGAGUGAAGCGGCAACAGCUCAAAUUUGAAAUCUGGCUUUCGGGCCCGAGUUGUAAUUUGUAGAGGAUACUUUUGAUGCGGUGCCUUCCGAGUUCCCUGGAACGGGACGCCAUAGAGGGUGAGAGCCCCGUCUGGUUGGAUGCCAAAUCUCUGUAAAGUUCCUUCGACGAGUCGAGUUGUUUGGGAAU